rnacentral:lncRNA from 12 species
UGGCUCCGUGCCAACAACGUACCCUUCCCAGCCUCUCUUCCUGAUCUGUAGCGUGGGGGUAGCAAGUGCACCUGAUUGCAGGGUCACUGGGAAAAUCAGGUAUUAUCAUUAACUGGGAACGAUUUGCUACAGGCCUGGCAUGGAGGAAGGCCUUAGGAAAUGCUGGUUUUACUUAUCUUUCUUCUGCCAAGUUCUUCCUUUUCCUUCCGAACAGAAUGAUUCAGGGGCUGAUUGUUGCAAAUAUUUUCUUCUCUUCAGUGUUUGCUUUUGGCCCACUUGGAGAUCUGAAUUAGAGCCUUGUCAUGCCAGGAAGAGAGCAUGACGGAGCUUUGGAAUCAGUUCUGACACCUGCAUGGAGCUGGUGCUGUCCGCCUAUGUUCAGAUGACUCAGGAGCCCAGAGAGGCGAGGGACCCAUCAGUUACCACACGGCACGUGCAGGGAGAGGACAGCGCCCCAGAGAACAGAGAAUGCUGGUGCGUCAGAGCGCAAACGAUGGCAUUCAUCACACGGACAGAUGGUGACGGAGCACUCAUUAAGUGUUGACUGCGUGAAAUGAUGCUGCCCACGUCCUGUUUCACUCUUCACAAGAGCCCGAUGAGCUAGAAACUUAUCCCCAUUUUAUAGAUAAGCAAACAGGAGCUGAAGUUGGGAACUUGUCUCAGGUCUCUCCACCCAUGAGCUGGAGAUGUAGGCAAACCCACUUUUUCCUCACUGGGGAGAUGGGGAUAAUAUUCACUACCUGACCAGGUGGUGAGGACUAAGCCCGACAACUCUGGCUGAGUGCCUAGUGCAGCAUCGGCGCCCAGGGAAUGGGCAGCCCCCGCCAGACUUCUGAAACAGUCCUGCCUCCCACCACAAACUGUGUGUCUGCUGUUGAGUGAGGAGAGAGGCAUGUUCUCUUCCAGACUCAGAGACCACCCCCCAUCCCCACUCCCCACCCCACCCAUGUUUUGGAAGGUAUUCGUAGCCAUGAGAGUGCAGCCUUCACGCUGCUGCUGGCACGGGCCGAGGGCGCACAGGAGGUAGGGAUGCCCCCCACCCGGAGUGCAGGCAAAGGCACAUCGCAGCCCAUAUUUUGAGGGGGAUUUCAAGAUACUCAUUUUGUGUUGCCACCAGAGCAAAGUAAACCGCAGCUCCUGGCUGCCGGGGAAGGGCUGAGCUCCUGCCAGGGCUGGUUGUGCCUGGCACCAGCCCAGGCAUGUACCAGAGUCGGCUGUGGGUGCAGGCAAGUGUACACACAAAAACAUUCCAGGACACGCGUGACCAGCCACACGCGGAGCUGCCGUAGCACCCAGCACCCGGUCUGCCUUCCCCUUCUCGUCGCUUCCCUUGUCUGGGGCUCUCUGCCUUUUCUG